rnacentral:rRNA from 1 species
CAAUAGCGUAUAUUUAAGUUGUUGCAGUUAAAAAGCUCGUAGUUGGAUUUCGGAUGGGACUUGCCGGUCCGUCGUUUCGAUGUGCACUGGCCAGUCCUAUCUUGUUGUCGGGGACUAGCUCCUGGGCUUCACUGUCCGGGACUAGGAGCUGACGAGGUUACUUUGAGUAAAUUAGAGUGUUCAAAGCAAGCCUACGCUCUGAAUACAUUAGCAUGGAAUAACACGAUAGGACUCUGGCUUAUCUUGUUGGUCUGUGAGACCAGAGUAAUGAUUAAGAGGGACAGUCGGGGGCAUUCGUAUUUCAUUGUCAGAGGUGAAAUUCUUGGAUUUAUGAAAGACGAACUUCUGCGAAAGCAUUUGUCAAGGAUGUUUCCAUUAA